rnacentral:misc_RNA from 1 species
ACUGACGUCACCCCUUUUACCUCAAACAAAAACACAAAAAUGAAAGUUUCUUGAUCGCAGACAGAUCUGCUUAUCAUGUCAGCAAAAUGGAAAUUGAUUUUCCAAGUGUUCCACCUCAGGAAAUUGUCGAUUGGGAGUAUGCAAUGAGGAGAGAAAUGCAGGAGAUAGUGCCUAACCUGUAUCUUGGACCCUAUGCAACAGCCAACAAAAAUAAGUUAGGUUAUUUAGAGUCAAUAGGAAUAACUGAUAUCAUCUGUGUCAGACAUACUGCCGAAGCAAAUUUCAUCAAACCCAAUUUUCCAGAGAAGAUCAGGUACCUGGUCUUGAAUGUUGCUGACAUAUACACUGAGAAUAUAAUUCAAUACUUUCCACAGGUAAAGGCAUUUAUAGAAGACAGUUUUGCAAGAAAUGGAAAAGUAUUAGUUCAUGGAAAUGCUGGAAUGUCUCGCAGUGCAUCUCUUGUGAUAGCUUACAUCAUGGAAAAAUAUGGCCUAUCUUACAGGAAUGUUAAAACGCAAGUUCACAGAGGAUCCUGAGCCCUCACAUGAUGACAGCUUCGUAAUGUUAUCUACGUGACCACAGCCAUUACCUCAGACAAUCUAGUGUGUGAGAUUUCUCCAUUAUGAACAAAUCUGCUGUUUUCUAUUUUACAGAGUGUGUUUCAUUAUUUUACCAUUUUAUGAGAUAGGCUUUUUUGAAAUAUCAAUGAUAUUACCAAUAUUCCUCUCUCAGGGGCUGUUUUCAUUAAUUGCAUUUGUUUAUCAUAUUGAUGACAUACCUUGGUCUGCAAAUAUAUAAUCAGUACCGGUAUUUAUUGUUAUAUUAUUUUACCAAAAAUAAAUUCAUAUGCUU